rnacentral:rRNA from 1 species
UGGGGAAUAUUGGACAAUGGAGGCAACUCUGAUCCAGCAAUUCUGUGUGUGUGAAGAAGGUUUUAGGACUGUAAAACACUUUUAGUAGGGAAGAAAGAAAUGACGGUACCUACAGAAGAAGCGACGGCUAAAUACGUGCCAGCAGCCGCGGUAAUACGUAUGUCGCGAGCGUUAUCCGGAAUUAUUGGGCUUAAAGGGCAUCUAGGCGGUUAAACAAGUUGAAGGUGAAAACCUGUGGCUCAACCAUAGGCUUGCCUACAAAACUGUAUAACUAGAGUACUGGAAAGGUGGGUGGAACUACACGAGUAGAGGUGAAAUUCGUAGAUAUGUGUAGGAAUGCCGAUGAUGAAGAUAACUCACUGGACAGCAACUGACGCUGAAGUGCGAAAGCGAGGGGAGCAAACAGG